GAUGAACGCUGGCGGCGUGCCUAAUACAUGCAAGUCGAGCGAACAGACGAGGAGCUUGCUCCUUUGACGUUAGCGGCGGACGGGUGAGUAACACGUGUGUAACCUACCUAUAAGACUGGGAUAACUUCGGGAAACCGGAGCUAAUACCGGAUAAUAUUUCGAACCGCAUGGUUCGAUAGUGAAAGAUGGCUUUGCUAUCACUUAUAGAUGGACCUGCGCCGUAUUAGCUAGUUGGUAAGGUAACGGCUUACCAAGGCAACGAUACGUAGCCGACCUGAGAGGGGGAUCGGCCACACUGGAACUGAGACACGGACAAGACUCCUACGGGAGGCAGCAGUAGGGAAUGUGCCGCAAUGGGCGAAAGCAUGACGGAGCAACGCCGCGUGAGUGAUGAAGGUCUUCGGAUCGUAAAACUCUGUUAUUAGGGAAGAACAAACGUGUAAGUAAAUGUGCACGGAUUGACGGUACCUAAUCAGAAAGCCACGGCUAACUACGUG
rnacentral:rRNA from 1 species